GCCUUCGUGGUGUAGUGGUCAGCACGCUCGACGCGUAAACGAGAGGUCCGUGGUUCGAUUCCCGGAGUAGACU
rfam:Stegodyphus mimosarum contig108434, whole genome shotgun sequence.